CUAUGCACUCCUACGGGAGGCAGCAGUGGGGAAUAUUGCACAAUGGGCGCAAGCCUGAUGCAGCCAUGCCGCGUGUAUGAAGAAGGCCUUCGGGUUGUAAAGUACUUUCAGCAGUGAGGAAGGUGGAUAUGUUAAUAGCAUAUUCAUUUGACGUUAGCUGCAGAAGAAGCACCGGCUAACUCCGUGCCAGCAGCCGCGGUAAUACGGAGGGUGCGAGCGUUAAUCGGAAUUACUGGGCGUAAAGCGCAUGCAGGUGGUUUGUUAAGUCAGAUGUGAAAGCCCGGGGCUCAACCUCGGAAUUGCAUUUGAAACUGGCAAACUAGAGUACUGUAGAGGGGGUAGAAUUUCAGGUGUAGCGGUGAAAUGCGUAGAGAUCUGAAGGAAUACCGGUGGCGAAGGCGGCCCCCUGGACAGAUACUGACACUCAGAUGCGAAAGCGUGGGGAGCAAACAGGAUUAGAUACCCUGGUAG
rnacentral:rRNA from 1 species